CAUCAUCACCUCCUCCCAGCAGUGACCGCCAAGGUCUACCCGCCCACCGUCGAGGUCUUCCAGACCUGUGGUGACCAUGGAUUGGUGGAGCUCCUCUGCCUGGUCGGUGGCUUCGCCCCGCCCACCCUCAGCCUCACCUGGUUGGUGGAUGGGAUCCCCCUGGUGGGCCACGCCCACACCGAGAAGGCCACGCCCGACCAGGCCCCAGGGACCUUCCGGGUGACCUCGCGCCUCAACGUCACCACGGCCGAGUGGAGGGAGCAGAGCAUCUCCUGCCAGGUGGAGCACGCGGCUUCCGGAAGCUUCCAGGAGGUGACGGCGCGCAGCUGUUCUGGUGAGGAGGGGUCUUCAGGGUCCUAAAAUGACCAAAAUUUG